GACGAACGCUGGCGGCGUGCUUAACACAUGCAAGUCGAACGGAAAGGCCCUGCUUGCAGGGUCCUCGAGUGGCGAACGGGUGAGUAACACGUGGGUGAUCUGCCCUGCACUUCGGGAUAAGCCUGGGAAACUGGGUCUAAUACCGGAUAUGACCUUCCAUGUAGUGUGGGGGGUGGAAAGAUUUAUCGGUGUGGGAUGAGCCCGCGGCCUAUCAGCUUGUUGGUGGGGUAAUGGCCUACCAAGGCGUCGACGGGUAGCCGGCCUGAGAGGGUGGACGGCCACAUUGGGACUGAGAUACGGCCCAGACUCCUACGGGAGGCAGCAGUGGGGAAUAUUGCACAAUGGGCGGAAGCCUUAUGCAGCGACGCCGCGUGGGGGAUGACGGCCUUCGGGUUGUAAACCUCUUUCGACAGGGACGAAGCUUCGGUGACGGUACCUGUAUAAGAAGCACCGGCUAACUACGUG
rnacentral:rRNA from 1 species